rfam:Penicillium freii strain DAOM 242723 scaffold_112, whole genome shotgun sequence.
ACGUACGACCAUAGGGUGUGGAAAACAGGGCUUCCCGUCCGCUCAGCCGUACUUAAGCCACACGCCGGUGAGUUAGUAGUUGGGUGGGUGACCACCAGCGAAUCCUCACUGUUGUAUGUU